GCUGGGAUUAUAGGUGUGAGCCACCGCACCCAGCCAGUAAUCUACUUUUUAAAAAACUAUAUAUGUAUACUGAAUAUACAAGUGAUAAGAAAGAGGAAUAAAAUCGGCCUUUAUUCUGCUUGCUAAAUGUCUACUAUUCAAGUUUUAAGAAUAACACACACUGGUAGCUAUUGUUUCUAUUCAUUUCAGAGCUCCUAAUUGCUGCUAUGGGGUCUCAAUGAGAAAGAAGGGAAGUGGGGAGGGGGCAAUGAAAAUGCAUGAGAUUUUCAGGAAUGCCAACAAUGUGAAGUUGGAAUCCUACUCUAACUACUUUCAUUCAUUCUUCCAAAGGUGACAGUGGUCUGUUGUGUUCAAAAUUAGCUGGAAGAGGACAAACGGUUUUAAGGUAGCACAAGGGAAGGCAACUUAAUACCUCCCUAAGGAGAAACCACAUGGACUGUGCUGGUGGAGAGGAUAAUAAUAGCAAUAAUAAUAAUUUUAAAAAAAGAGUGUAGAGGUGGGGUGGCAAAGGUGGGGAAGGAGUUCUGAUAACUUGGAAUGAGGUGGGAGGAAGAGGUGGAAGUAACCUUUGCAGGUGUUCAAGGAGGAUUUGUAAGGGAUGCAAAAAUAAGGACAACUGAAGCUGUGAGGCGGGAUACAGGAACAUAUCCAGUGAGCUUCUAGGAAUAAUGGAGAGCACACAUUGCAUCAUCAGGAUCACUGAGACCCGAAUCCUCUGGGGAAGUCAUGUCUUUUUUGUACUAGAUGUUUUGAAGCUUGAGCUGGGGCGGGGGGUGAGGCGGGGAGAGUGAAAGAGGAGGGGAAAAUCACUGGGAAAAAUUAAGCAGUCUGAAAGGAGGGUAAGAUUAUGAAGAUAAAUGUUUACAUCUCUGCUGCUUUGUAUCUCUUGAAAUGAAACUGUUUUUGAAUAGUGCUGCAUCUGUACUGUAAGAACGUGGGCAUUGUGAACAAAUUGACUGCCUCAGAUGAUUUGACACAUUUUGAUUUCUGCUUAGGAAAAUAUCUGUUAAUCCUAUUAGAUUGAGAAGGAGAGGGUCCUGAGCAGGAAUGCAAAAGAUCAAAUCCUUCCCCAUCUUGUGCACACUCUCCCAAUGCCAAGGUAUUAAAGUCUCAGCUAUUUCCAAAGACCCGGUGCCUCAUCCCUGACCUGCUUGGCAUUAUAUCAAAAUCCCUUCUUCUCCACCUUUCCAUCCUUGCCUGGCACUAGCUAAAAUCAUGACAAAACUGGAUGGCUGCCCUCUUUCUCUGGCAAGCUAAAGCAGAAAAGAGAUGUUAUUUUAUGCUUUCCUCUUUAUGUAAUUUUACUUCCUUUCUUCCAUCCUUCUUCCUAUUCUUUUCUUCCUUCUCCCUCUCUCCUUUUUUUUUUGUCUUCUUUAUGUGGUUUGCUGUUUGCUAAUAUCCAACUCCAGACCAUUCUUUGUGUUUGGCAAAGGAAGCAGUUUUAUUGUUUGGUAACUCCAGGGGGGAUAUAGUGUCUAUGAUGUUGUCUAGGCCAAACCUCCCCCAGGAAGGUUAACUACCUCUACCCUACUCUCAAAAGGGAAAGGAUGGCAACCACACACUUGAGCACCAGCCAUUCUCUUUCGUGAGAAAGUGGAUCUGUUCCUGCCCAGGAGUACUUUUUCUUUCCGCAAUGGUGUAACUCAAUAUUGCAAUGCAAUUAAUUUACUGAAAUCAGGACCAGUUAUCUGGAAUCUGAAUCUAUAGAGUGCACAUUAGGAAUAAGGGCAACAGAAGACAAUUUUUUUUUUUUUUUUUUCCUAACGACUUUCUGAGAAAAGGUUCUUCUUGGAGCGACACCCAAGUCUGAUCAAAGGGUCUGUUCAUCUGUCUCAAGAACCAACGCUGAAGCCCAGCAUGGAGCUAAAAAUAUGCACUCACAGUCCUAGAAAAUUGUAUUCAUUAAACUCUACCUACAGGUCCUCACCCAGAAUCUGCUCUAUGCCAAAGCAGCGUGCUGCUGUUAAUCCUCCUUUAUAGAUUAGGCAGUAAAAUAAAGAGGGUGGGGCUGAAAUGCAGGGGAAGUCUGCACACGUGUUUGGAAAAGAAGAAAAGGAAAAGCACAGGGAAUUCUUGUUCUCUCCUUCAUGUUCCGAGUUGCCAGGGUUGUCCAGACACCACCGAGAGACACAGGGCUUUUUAGCGUUCACUGUAUUUUCACUUCCACCGGGUAAGUGCUACAUGUAAAAUGGGAAUUUAGAGACAAGAUCAAAUAAAUGCCUUUCAAACUGUGGCACACUGUUAUUUUUGGAUCCCAUCCUUCUUUGUGUGUUAAGAAGGAAAUAAUAAUAAUCAUAGCUGACAUUAUUGAGCACUUACUAUGUGCCAAGCACUGUGGUAAGUUGUUAUUUACAUAAUCUCAUUUCAUUCUUCACGAUCUCUGAGCUAGGUGCUUGUGUUGCCACCAUUUUGCAGAUGAUGACAUUACAGUUUAGAAAGGCAAAGUAACUUGAGCAAGUAAGUGGCAAAGCUGGGAUUUGAACCCCAAGCUUCCAAAGUCUUGCUUAUAACGUCUAUGCCACAAAUAUGCCAUCUCUAAAUACUUCCCUUAAAAGUAUGUUUUCUGGUUUUCAUUUAUGAUUUUGGUGACUGCUCCUUAAUAAUAGUUCUACUAUUAUCUUAAUCUUUACCAUUUUCUGCAAUCAAGUGAUAGGGUUCCUUGGAAGCUGGAAGUGUGUUCUUCCUCACCUUUGUAUCCCCUGCAGCUCUUAAAGCAAAGUAUCUUGCACAGAAUAGGAGCUAAAUAAUUAUGUGUUGAAAUGCACUUUACAUUAUCUCUGUAUCUAAAUAAAACCCAUCUAAACGAGUCCACUUCCCAAACAUUGGGAUUUUUCUCCUCUUUGUAGCCAUCCCUUUCUUCUUGUUUUGUUUUCGAAAGGUUGAUUUUGAACUGGAGGGACAUUGCAGUUGUCUUGUCACUUAGUGGGAUUUGAAAGUGAGAGUCUGUGUAGUGUUUUAGCCUGCCCUCAGCAAUCAGGCCUCACACUCGCGAGGCUCUGAUUGUAGGAGUUGCCUUAUUUGCAUUGAUGAGGAUGAGCCAGCUGCUAGAGCAUACAGAACUGCACCUGACGCAAUCACGGAGUUCAGGAUUAGCACGGGGAAUCAGGAAUCCACUGCGCUGGCUGCGUGGCAAUCUCAGCCCUACAUUAGAGUCACUCAUGCAAAAUGACCCAAAUUUGCAAUGAGCACAAUUAGCAAUCCAAAGAUGCAUGUUAAUUUGGGGGCCUGAUAUUUUCUUACAUUUCCCUAAGUUAAAAAUAAUAAAUACAUUCUUUCCUAGACAAGUCUGGACAUGAAAACAAUUCAGGGGAUUAUGAGUUUGUAAAAAAUGUGCAAACCCCAGAAAAUGUGGUUUCUUUGGGUAACCAGCCACUGCCCACACCCCCCCCAAAAGUAUUAAGUAUGGCAUCAAAUAGGGUAAGAGCUUUGUGGUAUCAUGCCCCUUUUUCAAUCAGUGGAAAACAACUAUUUACAAGGAUAAAAAUAAUUAUAGUUAUAACAGGCAGAAAAGAAAAAUUUAAGCAUAAAAAAAGGAUUUGAUAUUUUAUAUUAUGUAUUCAUAUUUCUGAGACUAUGUUUGGAUCGCAUAUAACCACAGAUAUACUCAACUAUUUCUGAAUUUGCUAAAAGUACAAGAGAUUGUGUUGAAUUUUUAUUAAACAGAGUUUAUAAAUCAAAUUGAACAUUCUCCAAUUCUGGGCUGUGUUUCCAUAUGUUUGCAACCUAUAGGUAUUGAAAUGCUCACCUAUACUUUAGGAAAAAAAAAACCACAACAUUUUGCAAAGAUUGAAUAAAUGAUCAUUCGAAGCAAAAGCAUGCAGUUCAAAAGCUAAACCUCCCAUUGGAGAACAGAAAAUUUAAUGAGCUUUUAAUGGAAUGCAAUGCUCAGAGUAGUAAAUUAUUUGUUAGUUGACGAUGCAAUCAGCAUGCUGAUUAAGGUUGCUUGGUUUUUUACUAAACAUUAACUGAAUGAAAACGGGUAGUCCUUGUUCUGCUUGGGGGGCUUUAAGGAAGCAAAUGGACUUUCAGAACAGAGAUUGUCAAUAAAGCUUGGAUUCUGGAUAUGUCCUCUGAGAAGGUGCCCAUGUCACCGACCACACCGGAGGCCAAUGCAGAUACUGGAGGAAGGUUCCAUGGUAACUAAGUGUGGACAAGCUAAACACUGAAGUUCCCUGAUGUAGAGUUGAUAAUCUCUGGAGUUGGAUGGAAGACUGUGCUGCCUUGAAGCUCUGAGAGAUGCCAUGCCAAUUCAAGGCAAGGUCUUUAUUGUUGAAAUUCUUGCAUAAUGACAUCUUUAUUCAGGUGAAAAUACAGGAUGAAUUUCAACUGUAUGAUACUGUUUAUGUUCAUCAGACAUGUUAUUUGUCUUUACAAAGACUGGUUUCAAUAAACUGGCUGUGUAACCGAUAUUAAAUAAACAUGGAAUUUUACACAUUCGUAAUAUUUGGUUUCUUGUGAUUCUGAUGAACUAUACUUUCAAGCAUUGUCAGUUCAUCCUCAUUUACAAAGAAACAUUUGCUGUAGCAGAGUGAUGUAGUGACUUGCUUUACUUAAGAUAAGUCAACUUUUCUAUUCAAUGUUUAAAGUGAAACUGACUUAAAAAUGUUCUUUUAGGCCCCAUUUACAUUUCUCUUUGUAUAACAUGCAUUAUACUAUUUUAACUUAAUACUGUGGCUACAUAAAGCAAAUAUAUUCUAAUUCUGUUUUUAAUUUAUUGUUUUGCAAGAUAAAUAAUUUUUAAUGCACUAAUAAAGCUAAGGAGUUCAUAUUAAAAGACAUAUUAUAUGACCUACUGAAGUUGAUCUAUGGAAAUUGACUAUCUUAAAAGUAAUUUUGUAAAAUUAUUUUGUAUAAAAUUGACUUUCUUGUAUGAAUUCUUGACAACAAAUAUAAAACAAAAAGAAGUUGAAACUCCUUCUACAUCCUUCUACACACUGAAGAGAGUUAAUUGAAUUCUUUCUAACUUCAUGGUUUUUGUGUUUCUUAGAAAAAGAUAUCAGAUGAAUAGUAAACAUUUCAGUUGCACAUAUCUGCUUCUGGCUACCUAUUUAAAAUGUACUUUUUCAAAGUACACCUAGUUUUUUCACAUCUUUAAAGUGAUAUCAUUUUAUUUGUGGAUUUAUUCAUGAAAUGUUUUCAUUUUUGCCAUCCAGGAAAAGAAAUGUCAUGGAUUUUGUUUGUUUUGUUUUGUUUUGUUUUUAGGUGGGGAAGCCUGAAAAUAUGCAACCCUGAGCCCAUGCUCCUUUAUCCUACAGCAUGUUUCCAUUCCAGGCACCCUAUAAGCACUCAUCUACAUCUCAAAGAUAAAAGCUAUGAAAGGGCAAAUAAAUAUGCCAAGAAUUUAAGUUCCUUUAACCUUAAAAAGGGUUAUUUAAAACAGGCACUCCUGGCAUACCAUGACCAACCAAGGUCCACAUACUGGCAUGUGUUGGAUACGCUGCCUUUACAGAAAGGCACCUAGAAGAUGCUGAGAAGGGGAAAGUCAACCAGCUAGUUCAGAGCACGUUUCAAACAACAGAGUAAUGGUGUCUUCCUACCUAACAUCUGAUUUUUAGUUUUGAAAUUGUAGUGGUGGUGAUGGAGAGGAAAACCAGUGAGAGGAGAGGGGAACU